rnacentral:tRNA from 1 species
GGGCAUUUGGUCUAGUGGUAUGAUUCUCGCUUAGGAUGCGAGAGGUCCCGGUUCAAUUCUCGGAAUGCCCC